GCAAGCUUUUAGUUCAUUACUCCACCCUUGUGCACCCUCUGUAAUGCCAGGAGCUGGAAUAUAACUCCAUUCCGGCAUACUAAACAGCGUGCGGAAGGAGUGAGGUGCUGCCCCACGCUGGACCCCAGGGAAAGGUAGGGAGGCUGGAUGGGCCUCAAAAACUAAAAUAAUUUGUGAGAGUGUGCAAGAAUGUGUGUGUGCAAAAAUCUG